rnacentral:lncRNA from 1 species
GCCUCCCAAGUGCUAGGAUCAAAGUCAUGAGCCACCAGCAGCACUUUUAUUUUUGUUUGAUAAUUUUUAUAUACAUUUACCUUCUUCCAGAUUGGACCAGUGCUAUGCUAUAUUGAGUUUAAAAACAAUGUAGUUACCAUUUGAUAUAGUUUGUUUAUACAUUGUUAUUCAUGAACUUUGAACAAUCAUCAUCAAGAGAUAGUUAAGCAUUUAAAGGCAUUUACUGCUCUUGUAAAGGAUCCGAGCUCAGUUUUUAGCACCCAGGUCAGAUGACUCACAACAACCCAUAACUCCAGCUUUAGAAACUCCAAUACCAUUGGCUUCCUUAGGUACCUGCAUGUGCACAUACACACAGAUACAUAUAAUUUAAAGAAAUUUUAAAAAGAACUUAGGUGAUUUGGCGAAGAGUUGGCAUGUAUAUAGUACAAGCUAUGAGUUUGUUAGAUUCUGUAAGGCACUUGAAGCCACAUAUUCAUUUCUGAUGACAACUUUACACUUGUGCUGGCAGAACACCCACAGUGACAACUGUGCCUAUGUUUAGUCUGUUCAGGAGCUCCACCCGUUUGUGGAAAAACCUACAUAGUUCUUGUUAGAUAUGUAAAUAUUAGCCCUCUUAAGAGUUUGUCUUAGGUCUGCAGGUUUAUUUUGGACAAAUUGUAUCCUGUUUUUUUGUUUGUAUUUUGAGACAAUGUCUUACAUUUGUAACCCUGUCUGGUCUGGAAUUCAGAGAAAUCCGACUGCGACUGCCUCUGCCUCCCAAGUGCUAGGAUUAAAGACAUGUGCCACUGCACCUGGCUGUAUCUUGUACAUUUUAAAAAUUUAUUUACCGAUUAAUAUAAGGGAUGAAGGGUUUUAUACAAUAGGGCACACUACACUUGUGAGGAAGAAGCAGAUGGAUCUUUGAAUUUGGAGCCAGGGAAGCCAACCUGGUCAACAUAGUGAGACCUUGUCUCAAAAAAAACCCUUUAAGUUAGGCAUAGAGGCAUAUACCUUUACUCCCAGCACUCAGGAAGAAAAGGGAAACAUAUCUCUUGAGGUUGAUGUCAGCCUGGUCUAUAUAGUGUGUUUCAGGACAGCCAGAGCUAUAUAGUAAAACACUGUUUAAAAAUCAUGGAAAUAGGCUGGUGGAUGGUGAGUUUGGGAUCAAUUUGGGCUACUUGGUGAGACACUGUCUCAAAACAAGAACAAAAACUAGUCAGGCUGGGCAUGGUGUCACACACCUUUAGUCCUGGAAUUUGAAAAACAGGCAAUCAGAUAUGUGAGUUCAAGGCCUGCCUGGCCUAUAUAGAGUCUCAAAAACAAACAAACAAACCAAAACAAAACCAAGGAAAAAGUCUUAGACAUUCUUUGGGUUAUUUGAAGCACAAUUAUUUUCUUUAUUGGGUGGUGGAGGCAGAACCCAGAGAUUUGAACAUGCUAAGAACAUUCUCUGUACUAUAUAUACACCACCGCCCCCAAUUAUUGAUCUUUAAAGGUUUAUUUCCUGUGCUUAUUAGCUUCUUGUAGCUUCCAUAACAGCACACUGCAGAGGAUUCUAGAGGCUGGAACUUUGUAUUAGUCUUGAACUUCUUGUACAUGCUUUGGAAAGAGUGUGUUUCUUUUCUAGCUUCUGAUGGCUUAUGGCAUGAGAUUCCUUUGCUGUUUCACAUUCUGUUCUUAGCAUGCUGGGAACUCUUUUAUCUUUUAUAAAGAUGCAUAUAAUUGUACUUAAGGCCUGCUGGGGUGAUUGAGGGUAAAUUUCUUCUCAUAACAACAUAAGGUAAUAUUUACAAAUUCAUGGGAUUAGGGUAUGAAUCUUUUCAGUGAGCCCUGGGGACUGUUAACCAAAUAAAUUUCAUCU